GACGAACGCUGGCGGCGUGCUUAACACAUGCAAGUCGAACGGAAAGGCCCUGCUUUUGUGGGGUGCUCGAGUGGCGAACGGGUGAGUAACACGUGAGUAACCUGCCCUUGACUUUGGGAUAACUUCAGGAAACUGGGGCUAAUACCGGAUAGGAGCUCCUGCUGCAUGGUGGGGGUUGGAAAGUUUCGGCGGUUGGGGAUGGACUCGCGGCUUAUCAGCUUGUUGGUGGGGUAGUGGCUUACCAAGGCUUUGACGGGUAGCCGGCCUGAGAGGGUGACCGGCCACAGGGGGACGGAGAUAGGCCACAGACUCCAGCGGGCGGCAGCAGUGGGGAUGAUGGCACAGGGGGCGGUAGGCUGAAGCAGCAACGCAGGGUGGGGGAGGACGGCAUGCGGAUUGUGAGCCGGUUACGCCUGUGACGAAGCGUGAGUGACGGGAAUGGGUAAAGGAGGACGGGCUAGCUACGUG
rnacentral:rRNA from 1 species